rnacentral:rRNA from 1 species
AGCUCCAAUAGCGUAUAUUUAAGUUGUUGCAGUUAAAAAGCUCGUAGUUGGAUUUCUGUCAGGCAUCUCAGGUCUGCCUCACGGUGUGUACUUGUUGUGUCUGACAUCAUGUCAGAUUGGGCGUUGCACUUAAUUGUGUGGGUCUAGUUUGGCAGCUGAUACUUUGAGAAAAUUAGAGUGUUCCAAGCACGCGAUAGCGUUGAAUACUGCAGCAUGGGAUAUCGAGACAGGACUUCGGUCCUAUCUUGUUGGUUCUCGGGAUCGAAGUAAUGGUUAACAGAGGCGGUUGGGGCCAUUCGUAUUGGACAGUCAGAGGUGAAAUUCUUGGAUUUGUCCAAGACGAACUACUGCGAAAGCAUUUGGCAAGGACGCUUUCA